UGAGGAAUAUUGGUCAAUGGGCGAGAGCCUGAACCAGCCAAGUCGCGUGAAGGAAGACGGUUCUAUGGAUUGUAAACUUCUUUUGUAAGGGAAUAAAGUUCACUACGUGUAGUGUUUUGUAUGUACUUUACGAAUAAGGAUCGGCUAACUCCGUGCCAGCAGCCGCGGUAAUACGGAGGAUCCAAGCGUUAUCCGGAUUUAUUGGGUUUAAAGGGUGCGUAGGCGGACCCAUAAGUCAGUGGUGAAAGUUUGCAGCUUAACUGUAAAAUUGCCGUUGAAACUGUGGGUCUUGAGUGUAAAUAAAGUAGGCGGAAUGUGCUGUGUAGCGGUGAAAUGCUUAGAUAUAACACAGAACACCAAUUGCGAAGGCAGCUUACUGGGAUACAACUGACGCUGAGG
rnacentral:rRNA from 1 species